UAUCAUUAACUGAAUCCAUAGGUUAAUGAGGCGAACCGGGGGAACUGAAACAUCUAAGUACCCCGAGGAAAAGAAAUCAACCGAGAUUCCCCCAGUAGCGGCGAGCGAACGGGGAGGAGCCCAGAGCCUGAAUCAGUGUGUGUGUUAGUGGAAGCGUCUGGAAAGGCGCGCGAUACAGGGUGACAGCCCCGUACACAAAAAUGCACAUACUGUGAGCUCGAUGAGUAGGGCGGGACACGUGGUAUCCUGUCUGAAUAUGGGGGGACCAUCCUCCAAGGCUAAAUACUCCUGACUGACCGAUAGUGAACCAGUACCGUGAGGGAAAGGCGAAAAGAACCCCGGCGAGGGGAGUGAAAAAGAACCUGAAACCGUGUACGUACAAGCAGUGGGAGCACGCUUCGGCGUGUGACUGCGUACCUUUUGUAUAAUGGGUCAGCGACUUAUAUUCUGUAGCAAGGUUAACCGAAUAGGGGAGCCGAAGGGAAACCGAGUCUUAACUGGGCGUUAAGUUGCAGGGUAUAGACCCGAAACCCGGUGAUCUAGCCAUGGGCAGGUUGAAGGUUGGGUAACACUAACUGGAGGACCGAACCGACUAAUGUUGAAAAAUUAGCGGAUGACUUGUGGCUGGGGGUGAAAGGCCAAUCAAACCGGGAGAUAGCUGGUUCUCCCCGAAAGCUAUUUAGGUAGCGCCUCGUGAAUUCAUCUCCGGGGGUAGAGCACUGUUUCGGCAAGGGGGUCAUCCCGACUUACCAACCCGAUGCAAACUGCGAAUACCGGAGAAUGUUAUCACGGGAGACACACGGCGGGUGCUAACGUCCGUCGUGAAGAGGGAAACAACCCAGAC
rnacentral:rRNA from 1 species